rnacentral:tRNA from 1 species
GUAAUUUAUUAUAGGAGCUGUAAACUCUUAUUUUGAGUUUACCUAGUAAUAGCC